AUCGCUUCUCGGCCUUUUGGCUAAGAUCAAGUGUAGUAUCUGUUCUUAUCAGUUUAAUAUCUGAUACGUUCUCUUUCUGAGAACAACAUAUUAAACAGAUUUUUUGGAGCAGGAAGUUGGAGUAGGAGCUUGCUCCAUCCACUUCACACAUUGAUCUGGUAUUGCAGUAUCUCCAGGACUGGUGCACUCCUC
ensembl:snRNA U2 U2 spliceosomal RNA